GCGCCGGUAGUCUAAUGGUAGGAUAGCGGCCUUCCAAGCCGUUGAUCCGGGUUCAAAUCCCGGCCGGCGCA
rnacentral:tRNA from 1 species